UGCCAGCCGCCGCGGUAAUACGGAGGGUGCAAGCGUUAUCCGGAAUCAUUGGGUUUAAAGGGUCCGCAGGCGGACGUAUAAGUCAGUGGUGAAAUCCCGAGGCUCAACCUCGGAACUGCCAUUGAUACUAUUAGUCUUGAAUUCUGCGGAGGUUAGCGGAAUAAAUCAUGUAGCGGUGAAAUGCUUAGAUAUGAUUUAGAACACCGAUUGCGAAGGCAGCUAACUACACAGAUAUUGACACUGAGGCACGAAAGCGUGGGGAGCGAACGGGAUUAGAUA
rnacentral:rRNA from 1 species